UGAUUUCUCUCCAAUCUUUGAAUCCCCUCAGUUUGAACUAAUGCCAUGUAUUUUCAGAACAAUUAGUGAAACAAUUGUCAAUUGAAAGAUGGUUGAUGCACCGAAAAAGAUUGUAUUGAUUCAAUCUGGAAAAGUCAAGAUCACAGUAGCAAUUAAAUAUACAUUUGUUGGGCCAAAAGUAGCAGUUACAUAUGCAUUUGGUCAAUCUUUUGGCCUCUCUCUUUAUGCAUUAUGAUUGCCAUCUUGAGAAAAAAAUGGAAAAACAUGUAAAGCUGUAUGAGUUUUUUAUGUUUGCAAUUUUUAGUUUUGCGGGGACUUAAUGGAUCCACUCGGCUUGCCCUUGAAUCCAACUGUUUUUAGUUUUCAGUGUCCAGGAAAAAUUCUUGAGAUGACGGAAACGAAUUUCCCUCUCAAGAAAAGGUGGAAUACGAAUUGGAUGGAAAGCUAGAGCUGGAGCAGGUAGAGCAUGGUGGAGGGUCUGCUUCUACCUCUCUGGCCUCUCGACCGGAUCAUAUAUGUUUUGCGGCUCCGCGGCUCCAUUAAUGGCAGUAGUGCGCUUGUGCCAUCCAUGUCUGAUUCGUGCAGCCAUCAUCUGUAGCAUUUGUUGGAGCCAUCAUCCAAAACAGUUUCACUAAUUCUCAGUCCAUCAGGGCUCACAUCGUCGCCAACCCCAAUUGCGCGUGUGGGGCGAAGGCAAGCGCGGACGGACUGAUCGCAACCCGACGCUGCGCACCACCAUCUCCAACAUCCUCGCCGUCAGGGCCAGCGGCGCUCCGAGCAGAACAGA